ACAGUGGGCAGUGGCACUUUGAAUGUACCAGUUCUCAACGGAUCAUUGAAGUUAUGCAACGUUGCUCGUGGUUGGUAUCCAGCUGGGUGACCAUCUGGCCUAUGGCGUGCUGCUGGCUUUC
rfam:Asian citrus Psyllid, Diaphorina citri - Florida Strain, whole genome shotgun sequence.